GUGCGAGCGUUAAUYGGAAUUACUGGGCGUAAAGCGCAUGCAGGUGGUUUGUUAAGUCAGAUGUGAAAGCCCGGGGCUCAACCUCGGAAUUGCAUUUGAAACUGGCAGACUAGAGUACUGUAGAGGGGGGUAGAAUUUCAGGUGUAGCGGUGAAAUGCGUAGAGAUCUGAAGGAAUACCGGUGGCGAAGGCGGCCCCCUGGACAGAUACUGACACUCAGAUGCGAAAGCGUGGGGAGCAAACAGGAUUAGAUACCCUGGUAGUCCACGCCGUAAACGAUGUCUACUUGGAGGUUGUGGCCUUGAGCCGUGGCUUUCGGAGCUAACGCGUUAAGUAGACCGCCUGGGGAGUACGGUCGCAAGAUUAAAACUCAAAUGAAUUGACGGGGGCCCGCACAAGCGGUGGAGCAUGUGGUUUAAUUCGAUGCAACGCGAAGAACCUUACCUACUCUUGACAUCCAGAGAACUUUCCAGAGAUGGAUUGGUGCCUUCGGGAACU
rnacentral:rRNA from 1 species